CCCUUAGAUGUUCUGGGCUGCACGCGCGCUACACUGACGCACGCAACAGGUGCCUGCUCCGAGAGGACUGGGUAAUCAUUUGAGUGUGCGUCGUGAUGGGGAUAGAAUAUUGUAAUUAUUACUCUUCAACGAGGAAUUCCUAGUAAGCGCCAGUCAGCAGCUUGCGCUGAUUACGUCCCUGCCCUUUGUACACACCGCCCGUCGCUCCUACCGAUGGGUGAUCGGGUGAAUGAUUCGGACUUCAGCGGCUCCCCUGGGGUGCGCCGGAGAAAGUUUUGUGAACCUUAUCACUUGGAGGAAGGAGAAGUCGUAACA
rnacentral:rRNA from 1 species